GGGGGGGGGGGGGGGCGGGGCGGAUGCGGGGAGGUCGAGGGGACGGGGGGGGGGGUGGCUUCGCGGAGGGGAGCGGCGGACGGGGGAGGAACACGUGUAUAACCUACCUGUAAGACUGGGAUGACUUCGGGAAGCCGGAGCUACAACCGGAUAAUCUUUUGAACCGCAAGGUUCAAGAGUGAGAGCCGGUCUUGCUGUCACUUAUAGAUGGAUCCGCGCUGCAUUAGCUAGUUGGUAAGGUAACGGCUUACCAAGGGAACGAUGCAUAGCCGACCUGAGAGGGUGAUCGGCCACACUGGAACUGAGACACGGUCCAGACUCCUACGGGAGGCAGCAGUAGGGAAUCUUCCGCAAUGGGCGAAAGCCUGACGGAGCAACGCCGCGUGAGUGAUGAAGGUCUUCGGAUCGUAAAACUCUGUUAUUAGGGAAGAACAUAUGUGUAAGUAACUGUGCACAUCUUGACGGUACCUAAUCAGAAAGCCACGGCUAACUACGUG
rnacentral:rRNA from 1 species